rnacentral:piRNA from 1 species
UCGGGUGCUGCUGGCCUCAAAGGAGGAACUC